AUACGGAGGGAGCAAGCGUUAUUCGGAAUCACUGGGCGUAAAGGACGCGUAGGCGGGUUUGUAAGUCAGGUGUGAAAUCCUACAGCUCAACUGUAGAACUGCACUUGAAACUACAGACCUAGAGUAUGGAAGGGGCAGAUGGAAUUAGUGGUGUAGGGGUAAAAUCCGUAGAUAUCACUAGGAGUACCGAAAGCGAAGGCGAUCUGCUGGGACAUUACUGACGCUGAGGCGUGAAAGCGUGGGGAGCGAACAGGAUUAGAAACCCGAGUAGUCC
rnacentral:rRNA from 1 species